UUUGGUGAUGAUGGCGGAGGGGACCCACGCGUUCCCAUCUCGAACACGACCGUUAAGCCCUCCAGCGUCGAUGGUACUUGAACCGAAGGGU
rnacentral:rRNA from 1 species